UGCACUUAAUUGGUCCAGAGGAUUGCUACA
rnacentral:piRNA from 1 species